GACGAACGCUGGCGGCGUGCUUAACACAUGCAAGUCGAGCGGUAAGGCCCUUCGGGUACACGAGCGGCGAACGGGUGAGUAACACGUGGGUGACCUGCCUCUAGCUCUGGGAUAAGCCUGGGAAACUGGGUCUAAUACCGGAUAUGACUCCACGGCGCAUGUUGUGGGGUGGAAAGCCUUGUGUGGCUAGAGAUGGGCCCGCGGCCUAUCAGCUUGUUGGUGGGGGAUGGCCUACCAAGGCGACGACGGUAGCCGGCCUGAGAGGGCGACCGGCCACACUGGGACUGAGACACGGCCCAGACUCCUACGGGAGGCAGCAGUGGGGAAUCUUGCGCAAUGGGCGAAAGCCUGACGCAGCGACGCCGCGUGAGGGAUGACGGCCUCGG
rnacentral:rRNA from 1 species